GUUAUAAAUAGACAAUUUUUCCCUUAAUUUUUUUCUCCCCUCUUCCUGCAUUUUUGGGUUGACUUUUUGGUCUAGAAUUGGAGAAAAGGGAUCAAAUUUGCAAUUUCAUAGCAGUUUUGGGUAAUACUGAUGAUAUUACAGCGGAGGGAUAGGGGGUGUAAAGUGUCUUUCUGCAGAGCAGUCAUUGUGUCGGAAGUGAGAUUUUCACCCCAGUCAACUUCAAAUCCGUGUAGCAAAAAAUCUAAAUGGUCAACCCCCUACAAAAUUAUGAUGAGGAGAUUGCCAAAUGUUGUCCCCAUUGUGCCUAUAAAGAUUGGAACCAACGGAAUGUUGAGAAAAAAGCUACAGCCUGUGAUGUUACAGCCAUUUAACAUUGAAGUCAAUGGGCAAAUAAUUGCUAGUCUGAGUCCUGAUGAGAUAAAGAAACAUGGCCGACUCGGGAUGUUGAUAUUUUUUCAAGGGCUUAUUUCCUGAAGUUUUGAAUGGAAAGUGUCAGAAAUAGUAAGAAUACUGCUUUUUUAUUGCCCAGCAGUGCCAGGGCAAUGUUUCAUAGAGUGGAAUGAUUGACCUCAACACAAGUAUUAAAAAAAAAGAAGCAAAACAGGUCUACAUCUUAAAACCUGAUCUCUUCCUGGACUGGCUUUAGGAGAACGAUGAUGCAUAUCAAUUUCAUCCCUGAUCUCUAUGACACCUGUGGUGGAAGUGGAGGGCAAAUCGUAAUCAGUUUGGGACCUCUGUAAACUUUGCUUUUUGGUGAUGACUUAAUUUCCGAGCUUGAAAAGGACGCUUGUGUGUUUAUCAUGGCCUCUCAUAUUGGAAGAUAACAUUAAUGGCUUGUGUGUUGAUCGACGGUUGUGCAUAUCUCUUGGUCAGGAAAGUUGUAGGCACCAUCGCCAUUGUAAAUCAUUUGACAGGCUCGAGUGAACGGGGCGACCUAUGAUUGGUCAGCAAUGUAUCAGAUUCCAUACCGGGGGGUGGGGAUGAAAAAACUGUUGUAGUGUUACAUAAUCAGAUUAUUUCAACUUACUUAUCCUGUGGAAAUACAGCUAUAUAGGAGAUAUUUUGAAAUUCAUAGGCACUGCAUGUUUCAACAUUUUAGAUUUGACCACAAUUUGGCACUUAAAACUAUGUUAACAGAGAAAAACUGUGUGGUUUUCGAUGAAAGUGUUAAAAGUCUAAUAUUGCAUCAUGAUUACUGUUUUAAAGUAUUUUCGUGUUUGAUUUAUAUUGAAUUCAUCUCAUCUUUUUGAAGAAUGCAUUUAUGUUCAAAAAUAAAAAUGUUCUGUGGAAUUCAAAAUUCAUGUGCUUUUAAAUUAUCAGAUUCCAAACUGGGGGGUAGGGAUGAAAAAGCUGUUGUAGUGUUACAUAAUCAGAUUAUUUCAACUUACUUAUCCUAUGGAAAUACAGCUAUAUAGGAGAUAUUUUAAAAUUGAUAGGCACUGCAUGUUUCAACAUUUUAGAUUUGACCACAAUUUGGCACUUGAAACUACGUUAACAGAGAAAAACUGUGUGGUUUUCGAUGAAAGUGUUAAAAAGUCUAAUAUUGCAUCAUGAUUACUGUUUUAAAGUAUUUUCGUGUUUGAUUUAUAUUGAAUUUAUCUCAUCUUUUUACAGAAUGCAUU